rnacentral:rRNA from 1 species
AGAGUUUGAUCCUGGCUCAGGAUGAACGCUGGCGGCGUGCCUAACACAUGCAAGUUGAGCGAUUUACUUCGGUAAAGAGCGGCGGACGGGUGAGUAACGCGUGGGUAACCUACCCUGUACACACGGAUAACAUACCGAAAGGUAUGCUAAUACGGGAUAAUAUAUUUGAGAGGCAUCUCUUGAAUAUCAAAGGUGAGCCAGUACAGGAUGGACCCGCGUCUGAUUAGCUAGUUGGUAAGGUAACGGCUUACCAAGGCGACGAUCAGUAGCCGACCUGAGAGGGUGAUCGGCCACAUUGGAACUGAGACACGGUCCAAACUCCUACGGGAGGCAGCAGUGGGGAAUAUUGCACAAUGGGCGAAAGCCUGAUGCAGCAACGCCGCGUGAGUGAUGAAGGCCUUCGGGUCGUAAAACUCUGUCCUCAAGGAAGAUAAUGACGGUACUUGAGGAGGAAGCCCCGGCUAACUACGUGCCAGCAGCCGCGGUAAUACGUAGGGGGCUAGCGUUAUCCGGAUUUACUGGGCGUAAAGGGUGCGUAGGCGGUCUUUCAAGUCAGGAGUGAAAGGCUACGGCUCAACCGUAGUAAGCUCUUGAAACUGGGAGACUUGAGUGCAGGAGAGGAGAGUGGAAUUCCUAGUGUAGCGGUGAAAUGCGUAGAUAUUAGGAGGAACACCAGUUGCGAAGGCGGCUCUCUGGACUGUAACUGACGCUGAGGCACGAAAGCGUGGGGAGCAAACAGGAUUAGAUACCCUGGUAGUCCACGCUGUAAACGAUGAGUACUAGGUGU